rnacentral:rRNA from 1 species
UACAGAGGGGGCAAGCGUUGUUCGGAAUUACUGGGCGUAAAGCGUGUGCAGGCGGGUGGGCAAGUGGGGUAUGAAAUCGCCAGGCUAAACCUGGCGGGGUUAUGCCAGACUGUUUAUCUGGAGUGCGAGAGAGGGGCGUGGAAUUCCGGGUGUAGUGGUGAAAUGCGUAGAGAUCCGGAGGAACCCCAGAGGCGAAGGCGGCGCCCUGGCUCGCAACUGACGCUCAGACACGACAGCAUGGGGAGCGAACGGG